rnacentral:rRNA from 1 species
GCUGAAUGUGGGGAUAAUUUAUCUCCGUGUUGUAGCUAACGCGUUAAGCACGCCGCCUGGGGACUACGGUCGCAAGACUAAACUCAAAGGAAUUGACGGGGACCCGCACAAGCGGUGGAGCAUGUGGUUUAAUUCGAUGCAACGCGAAAAACCUUACCACUCCUUGACAUGGAGAUUAGAUCCUUCUUAACAGAAGGGCGCAGUUCGGCUGGAUCUCGCACAGGUGCUGCAUGGCUGUCGUCAGCUCGUGUCGUGAGAUGUUGGGUUAAGUCCCGCAACGAGCGUAACCCUCAUCCUUAGUUGCCAGCGGGUAAGCCGGGCACUUUAAGGAAACUGCCGGUGGUAAACCGGAGGAAGGUGGGGAUGAUGUCAAGUCAGCACGGCCCCUAUGGGGUGGGCUACACACGUGCUACAAUGGUGACUACAAUAGGUUGCAAUGUCGCAAGGCUGAGCUAAUCCGUAAAAGUCAUCUCAGUUCGGAUUGUCCUCUGCAACUCGAGGGCAUGAAGUCGGAAUCGCUAGUAAUCGUGGAUCAGCAUGCCACGGUGAAUACGUUCUCGGGUCUUGUACACACUGCCCGUCACGCCAUGGGAAUUGGCUUAACUCGAAGCUGGUGCGCUAACCGAAAGGAAGCAGCCAU